rnacentral:lncRNA from 1 species
UCCAAAAUGUCCAUAUUACAGUGACCCAAACCCGUUUACAAUAACCCAUUAAAACCCAAGCCCAAACCCGAAUACAUACGGCCCAACACCAAAGAGAAAAAGAAACCUUAGGCAUUUAGCCCUAGCACGAGCGCCGCAACGGCUUCCAGCGCCGUUCUCCCCACGCCUCCACGCGCUACGCCGUGCCACAUCAUCGUACGACCAUUCCUGCAACAAACGAAAUACGAACAACGCAGCACCAAAUAAAAAAGGACAGAUAACAGUUGUAAAAAAAAAUUUAGAUUUUGAUUAUUUCUUUUGGAUUUUUUGGCACUAUAAAGGCCGAUUUAAAAAAAUCUGUAAGGGGAAACCCACGGAGAUUGUAGCAAAAAUAUUUGAAAGAAAAGCAAUAGAAAAAAAAGGGGGGUUUCAAAAGGUGAUCUUUUCUUUUUUCUUAUUCAAUUUUCUUUACCGUUUUCUUUUUAUUUUUUUAAUCGCGUGUGAACAAAAGAGAAAGGAGAAGGUUUACCUCGAAAAGCCUUCGGAUCCGCGCGAGGAGGAGCUAAAAAGCCCCUAGGGGUGCAGCUUUGACCACCGUUGACGGUGUAAUCACGGCGGAGAGGUGGCAGACUGGCGGUGAAGGGUGAGAGAGGUUUAGUUUUUUUUUUCUUUUUUUUUCUCUGAUAGCCUAAUAGAGUUUUGAAAUAUUAUGGUUUUAGGGUUUUGAAGGGGCAUUUAUACUGGGCAUAAAACGACACCGUUUAGGCCCGUGCCAAUGGCUCUAAAACGGUGCCGUAUUGGCGUUCACCCGAUGACCCGACCCAGAUGCGGCUAGAUCCACGUAUUCUGGCAUGGGGAGGGAUAUUUGCGCGCUUAGUCCCUCGCUUUUAAAGCGCAUCCAAAUCAAUCUUUUUAUUUUUUUAAAUUCUACCUGACAUGUCACUGUUGCUUCAUUUUAGUCCAUAUCGCAGAGCUGCGUUUUGGGAGGAUGGGGAAUAUUUCCCAAUUAGUCCCCCAUGUUAUUCGCGCAUUGCAUUUUUGUCCUUCAAUUUUAUUUUAUUUUCGUUUUUUUUCUUUCUGAUUUUGUUUUAAAACCAAUUUAAUCCUUAUUAGAUUUUUAAAAAUUUAUUUAAGUAUUUAUAUUCAUUAUUUUUUGAUAUAUUUAAUCUUUAAAUCUAACCUUAUUUUUAUAUUUGUGCUUAAUAUUAUUUUAAAUCCUUUAUGAAUGUUGUUUAAAUUUAUCCCAUAUUAUUCUAUUUUUACUUAUUCUCAUAUAUAUAAUUUAUUUCCUCAUGUUUUUUGGUUAUUUCAAAACUUG